UUUUAACAAAUUGCUAUUUGUUUUUCAGGAAACCUUAUGUCAUCCGCUAGGGGAAUGGGAAAAGUGCACAAAUGGGAGGUGUGCAGCUGGCAGUGACAAUGCAAAUGACACAUGAGACAAUUGCUCAUCCUUAAAUUGAUUUAAGGAUCUUCACGCAAGCUCGUCUUGAAUAAGAAUAUUGCAGCCUGCUCUCCCUUGGACUGUUCCCUCCCUCUUUCCAACAUCUUAUCAUCAGUUUCACGAUUAUGCAGCACAGAUCAAUUCUUAUGAAUACUGACAGAAAGCCAGACAACAUAACCAUCUGACUUCUCAGAAAUAGCCCACAAUACUGCAUAAAUUAUCCAAGCUCCCAGGUGGUCAGCUCCUUCUUCCAUUUUACAGCUUGCACCACAAUCUGUGAAGAACACAUCUCUUCCACCUCCCACCUGUAUUCAGCCAUCUGUGUUUACAGUCCCAAGAUUUCAGCCCAGUUCAAGUCAUCUGUAACAGCCUUCUCCUCCAGCCCCAUAUUGUAGACUCUUAUCAUGGACCAUAGGAACAAGGUAACAUGAACAGAGGAGAAGCAGCACAUUCUGCAAAAUGGUGUCCAUGCAUCUGAGUUCCAACAGGUGAAAGCUGGCCUGUGCUGUUAUGGAUGUUCAUGAAAUCAAGGUGAUGUCCUAUAUUCUGGAAGCAUCAAUGGCCAACCUAUGUGUAGUCCUUCCAGCAGACAGUCUGGGUCCUUGAACUGUUCAGAGCUUUCUCAUUGCUUAUAUCUUCCACAACCCAAGAGGUUUCAGACCUGAAAUUUACUGCUCUUAUCAAACUGGCCUGAAAAGAAUAGGCCACCUCUCUUGGCUCACAGGCCAUUACUGUGCACAUGUGGAAGCUGAGGAAUCUGGUUUUCCAGUAGCAAGCUCCUAGGUUUUAGGAUUAUUCUACAUCAGUGAUAACAGCACUAGGACUGAGGAUAGGUGCAAGGAGGUGACGGCAUCUUCAUGAAAAGCAGCAUCCUCCAUGUCAAUCAUAUAUUCAGGAGCAGUAAGACCAACGAUUCACAAUACUCCUUCAGUCUUUUGUCUGCUCUGAAAAACAAUCCAGCCACUCACUGGAAAAACAGAUCCAGUUCUUGGUAUGAUGAGAUUUGAAAAGUCCACGCUUUGCAUUUGCUCUUUGCAGGCAUUUGAGAUCACAUCCUGCUGUGUCAAAUGGACAGCAUAUAAUAGAAAGCAUGACAGCUCACACCACUUCAUUUUUGUACAAUUCCAAAGGAAGGGGUUCCAAUAAUAAGGGCUAAAAAUAUCACCCAGUUACCAGGGAAGAUAUUUCUGUCUCAUGUGUCUACGCUCUUUCUUUAAUGAGUCACUGUGACACAGCCUGAUACUCCAUCUUUUACUCACUGAGCAAUCCUAUUUAUUUCCGUUAGGGCAUGCGGGGCCUAUUCUUUGCUGCCUACCAUCCAUCAAGUCUUGACCUUGCUGGAGCAUAUGAUUUGCUAGUGUAAGCGGGGGAAUGAUCCCGCUAUUGUGGGGAACUUUCCUGG